rnacentral:rRNA from 1 species
GAUGAACGCUGGCGGCGUGCCUAAUACAUGCAAGUCGAGCGAACAGACGAGGAGCUUGCUCCUCUGACGUUAGCGGCGGACGGGUGAGUAACACGUGGAUAACCUACCUAUAAGACUGGGAUAACUUCGGGAAACCGGAGCUAAUACCGGAUAAUAUAUUGAACCGCAUGGUUCAAUAGUGAAAGACGGUUUUGCUGUCACUUAUAGAUGGAUCCGCGCCGCAUUAGCUAGUUGGUAAGGUAACGGCUUACCAAGGCAACGAUGCGUAGCCGACCUGAGAGGGUGAUCGGCCACACUGGAACUGAGACACGGUCCAGACUCCUACGGGAGGCAGCAGUAGGGAAUCUUCCGCAAUGGGCGAAAGCCUGACGGAGCAACGCCGCGUGAGUGAUGAAGGUCUUCGGAUCGUAAAACUCUGUUAUUAGGGAAGAACAAAUGUGUAAGUAACUAUGCGCGUCCUGACGGUACCUAAUCAGAAAGCCACGGCUAACUACGUG